rnacentral:lncRNA from 1 species
GAAAUGGGGAGGCUGUGCUGUACCUCCUGGAGGGUGCCUUAGGGCCCUGCAUUCCAGUUAGAGACUUUCAGUGAUGGAGUCCCUGCGUCUCCCUGAGCCUAGUGCUCAUGUUUAGUUACAGUGUUCUAAAAGGAGUCUUUUAAGACACCAAGUUCCAUGUUGUUCGACUUUUAGAAUUCUGCAUUUUGUUGUUCUACAUUCAGAACUACUGCUGUACGUUUGAAAUCAUCAAUCAUAGUCAUUCCUCCGUUGAUGAGAGAGGCUGGUGUCUUGGAAGGCUUUGGGCUGGAGGCCUGCGGCCUGUUGGCUGUGCAACCUUAAGCAAGUCACAUAACUGCAUUUUCCUUUUCUUAACCAUCACUGUGAAGGGUGAGGCAGAAGACGUGGUCAUGGAGAGAGUAUCCACAUGUACCUGGCAUUGUGGGAGCUUAAUUCAUUUCACCAAGUAUAUCUCACCUCAUCUUCAUAAUAUGUCUGUGAGGCAUGGAGUUACUGCCAUUUUGCAGAUGCGUGGAGAAUACGGCUUUGUGUAUCCUGUGAGACUUACGUCCACCAGUCAAGUUCUCUGCCGUUAACCCAGUGUCGAGUGCGUGCCAGGCAUUAAAGACUAUUCCAACUGGCCCACCAUCCCGCAGGUGUACCUCAACGGCGAGUUCGUGGGGGGCUGUGACAUCCUUCUGCAGAUGCACCAGAACGGGGACCUGGUGGAAGAACUGAGAAAGCUGGGCAUCCGCUCCGCCCUUUUAGAUGAGAAGAAAGACCAAGACUCCAAGUGAGGGCGGCGCGGGUCGCCCUGAGCUCGACGCUCGGGAGCCCUGGGCUCAGAGACUCACUGCCAGAGAAGCCUUAGCGAUUUGGGUUUCACUGUCCCGACGGCUGCCUGCGCCGAUGCCUGCGGCGUGAGCGGUCGGCGAUCUCAGUGUGUCUGCUGUCGGGCUGAGAAUAUUCCAUUGUGAACUGAAUUAUAAGCACUGCGCUGUAGUAACUCAAUGUUGUAUCAUGAUCUUGCUAUAAACAAAAUUUGUUCUUAUAGUGUCCUUUGCUCUUUGCCUGAUUCAGGAGUAAAACUAGGAGCUUUUGAAUCAUCAUUAUUCACGAGUCCUCUGCGAAUGUGUCGGUCUGCAAAGAUGAUAUAUCCACCCAAGUUUUUUAUAACUUGUUCUGUUAAGAAAAAUGAUGGACAAAGAAGAAAAUGUGAUAACUGGGUAUUGUUUUUUAAAAUAAACUGCCAACCCAGGGA